AAGAUAAACAUAGUAAGAAAUAAUUAUCAUUAUAGUACAUUCCAAUUAGAUAAUUCCCAAUUCCCAUAGGAGCGACUUGGGUGUGUAGCUUCAUCUUGUUGCCCUGGUCAGUAAUAUUCCUAACUAUUUUAUGGGAUAUUGCGGUCAUUAGAGAUAGCGUGAAAUAAUUCAAAUACCCUUUGCACAGCAAUAAAAACAAACGCAUUUACGACAAAAGUACAAAUGUAUUUAUACAUUUUAUAUUUAUCUAUUUGGGUGUGAUAUUCAAAUCCUUUUGGGAAUGCAAACGAGCGCAUCAAUGUUAUCAAAUCGGAAUGUUUAAUUGUAAAAUGUACUACACAAACGUAAUUGCAUUUAAUGGCGUCAACUGAAAUUCAAAUUUCAAAUAAACCUGUCGCCAUUCCCUGCAACAACAAUAACAACAACAGGUCAGCUAGAAAGAGAGAGAACGAGCGAGGGGAGAGCCUAUAAAAUGCAUUUGCCGUGCAGAGAGACCGAGAGACGGAGAGACACACCCACCAGUCAAAGGAGGCGCAUCACAUGCUAAUUAGUUUUUCGUUUUCUUUGCUCUGUUUACUUUUUGCCGAUUCCCCUUUGCCGAUGCCCCAAUGUCAAGUGCAAUCAUCGUCAUCAACAUCGGCAACGGCAACGGCAUCGCCGCCAGUGUUGUUGACGCCGUUGCGCCUCGUGUCUUUCGCAGUACACGAAGACAACGUUCUCGGCAAUCGCUCGUUGUAGUAGUCGGUCGCUAAAUCGUGAGCUGCUUGCUGCAGGCUUGCUCUGAAAUUUAUUGGCUCUCAGUAGCUCUAGGGAAUGUGUGAUUAAAAGUCACAUAAACAAUGUUUUUAUUUGUAUUGAGGGAAAAGAAUCAAUUAUAAAUUCUAUUGCAGUUUUACUUGAAGAUUGCUCGACAGCUCGCACAAACAAGAUAAAAAUGUUCAAACAUGUCCGGUCUGGAAACAUAAGCAAUAAGCGAUAGGGUCCAGAACGACAACAACAUUUAAAUUUACUGGCAACGUUUUUAGUAUCGAAACGUGUGGAUGGGCGCACUGAGAGCCCGAGCAAAACUGAAUUUCUCUAAGGAAACGCGCUUAACAGCACAGCUAAAAGCCAACGCUGCCAAGACCCAGCGCAGCGCGUCGACUGCGACGCGGCGUCGUCAAUUGAUAUGUACAUAUGUGCGUAAACAUAGCGCGACAGCAGCAGCGACGCUAGCGUUAACGUUCUGCUGUCGACUGCGCACCGAGACUUCCAUUUGCAUUGAUAUACGCAACCCGUCAGUCAGUCAGUCAGUUAGCUGAUGAAGGAGGGGCGUAUGUGGAUAGAGCCUUGGAUAAUCUAAAGAUUGAUCAAGAGCUUAAUAUGCGGAUGGAUAUAUUGCAGUUAAGUCCAAAUCAAUUGAGGUUCUACAUGGCGUAUGAGUGAUUUAAUUAUUUAUUGCUGGUCACUUUUGGCAGAGAGGCUUUCUUUGCUCAGACUUCGCUUGUAUGCCAUAAAGCUUAUGUUUUGCUGAUCGAAGUAUACCUGAAACUUCUCCAGGAGUCGUCGAAAGCCGCUCUCCAACGCUGCUGAGCUAACAUCCUUGAGCUUAUCCAGCACAUAAUCAAUAAGAGCGUUCAUCAGCAUCUACAGAUGGAAAAUAAGAUAAAAAAAAAUAUGAUUCGUAAACUACAUUUGCUUAACAUCUUUAGGCAAUGUACCCUCAUAUGCUCCUGAGACACACGGCAGCGAGUGUGUACUAUGUGAUUGUCGCUCAGCAUUGCUUGGAAUAAUACCGGAUCGUUCUGAUCAAUUACGGCGCUUAUAUAGCGCAUAAAGGCCAAGGAAUGUCCAUGCAAGCGGUGCAUAUCAAGUUUGCCAUUAUGGCGAAAGUUUUCAAAUGUUGAGUAGUGCUUCAUAAUAAAGCUACAAAUUGUUGCUUAUUUAACAUUAAGUUUCUACGAGCUAAUGUUUUCAUCUCACGUAAAGUAAAUGUCCUUUCCAUAGCGCCGCUCGAAUGGUUUGAUUAGCUUCCAAGCCUGCCGCAAAGCCAAUCUUUCGUUAAGCGUAAACCCACUCUCAUCGUACACAGGUCCAACUUUCAGUACUGGCAACGGCUU